GACGAAGGAUGCAAGCGUUAUCCGGAUUCAUUGGGUUUAAAGGGAGCGUAGGCGGCCUUGUAAGUCAGUGGUGAAAUCUCUGGGCUUAACUCAGAAAUUGCCAUUGAUACUGCAGGGCUUGAGUACAGUUGCCGUUGGCGGAAUAUGACAGUAGUAGUGGUGAAAUACAUAGAGAUGUCAUAGAACACCGAUUGCGAAGGCAGCUAACGAAACUGUAACUGACGCUGAGGCUCGAAAGUGUGGGGAUCAAACAGG
rnacentral:rRNA from 1 species